AUUCCAUUCAGGCUCUCGCCAUGGCCGGCCUGAUCCGGGCAGCACAAUCUGCUCUUUGAGCCUGGCCCAGCCAGGCAGGACAGUGGUGCCUUUGCCCACGUCCAGCAUGGGGCUGGGACCCCCAUCUGUGCAGAGAGUGGGGUUUUAGGAAUAGGAUCUCCUGGCCCAUUGUGUACCCAGCCAUGGGCUCGGCCGCCGAGGUGGCUGUUGGCCCAGGGAGGGACUGCCCAACAGACAAUAUAAUCCCUGUGUUCAUCGAUUAUAAGUUAAAGAAAAGGCCCUUAAGUGAAUGUGCCUGGUUUUGGGGGUGGGCUUGUUUGGACAAUGCUGCGCUCUGCAGAGAGGGGGGAGUGGCCCCAAAUCUGUUUCUUGAAUUUAUCAACAUGAUUUUCUUGAAACUCAACAUUGACAGUGACAAAAAUUGUUAGGAAAGAUGAGGAGAAAAAGAAGCCUCCAAGAUGUAUGUUUGUGUUUGACACUUCAUCAGAGGCAAGAGUCAAGUGAGGUUUUGUUAAGAUUUGAGUAACACAUGUGUGAGAUGUCCCCUUCCUGCUCUCUCUCUCCCCAAGCAGCUGGUAUUUAGCAGUUUGAUAUUUAAAUCCAGCUAAAGGGUGCUGUGGGCUGUGUGUGAUAGGGAGAGUUAAUCAUGAAGCAAAUAAAUGAUGCACAGUUGAAGAGAUGUUAAGUAGAUUAAGGAAGUGCAGUGCUGAGCAUCACCUGUAAGCUUUUUUCAGCUAUGAAAGGUUUUUGUAGCUAGCACCAAUGUUACAAGUCGCACAAGCUGUCUGCACUGGCACGCAGUUGUAUUUCCAAGGUAUGUGACCUUGCUG